rnacentral:lncRNA from 1 species
AAAAAGAUUGAAAAUCUGGGAAGUAAAUACAGAUUAAUGAAACGCAAGCAGACUGGCACAGGGUCAGGGGCCAUCUGCUGGCCAUAUUACUGGGAGAUUCACCGAUUUCUAAGAACGCUGCCGCUGCAUGACGAAAGUCUUGCUGAAGAAAGCGGCUUCAGCCAGGGUUCCCCAGCACAGGAGAUCCUUCAAGGAAUAGCACGGGGUGACGUGCAAG